CCUUCGCUGAUGAUCCAGGAUGACUUUCGUUCUUCUGAGCAAGCUGAAGCCAGGACCCUGAUCUGAGGAGG
rnacentral:snoRNA from 1 species